rnacentral:rRNA from 1 species
AACGAACGCUGGCGGCAGGCCUAACACAUGCAAGUCGAGCGAAGCCUUCGGGCUUAGCGGCGGACGGGUGAGUAACGCGUGGGAACGUGCCCUUUGCUGCGGAAUAGCCCCGGGAAACUGGGAGUAAUACCGUAUGUGCCCUUCGGGGGAAGGAUUUAUCGGCAAAGGAUCGGCCCGCGUUGGAUUAGGUAGUUGGUGGGGUAAUGGCCUACCAAGCCGACGAUCCAUAGCUGGUUUGAGAGGAUGAUCAGCCACACUGGGACUGAGACACGGCCCAGACUCCUACGGGAGGCAGCAGUGGGGAAUCUUAGACAAUGGGGGAAACCCUGAUCUAGCCAUGCCGCGUGAUCGAUGAAGGCCUUAGGGUUGUAAAGAUCUUUCAGUGGGGAAGAUAAUGACUGUACCCACAGAAGAAGCCCCGGCUAACUCCGUGCCAGCCGCCGCGGUAAUAC